GUCCACAGCCACGCCACCCUGAACGCGUCCGAUCUCAUCCGUUCUCGGAAGCUAAGCAGGGUCGGGCCUGGUUAGUACUUGGAUGGGAGACCCCCUAGAAAGACCAGGUGCUGUAGGUG
rnacentral:rRNA from 1 species